GACGUACCGUGCAAACGUUAUUCGGAAUCACUGGGCGUAAAGGGCGCGUAGGCGGCUUCAUAAGUCAGGGGUGAAAUCCGGCAGCUUAACUGUCGCAGUGCCUUUGAUACUGUGGAGCUCGAGGGAGGUAGGGGUCUGUGGAACUUCCGGUGGAGCGGUGAAAUGCGUUGAUAUCGGAAGGAACGCCGGUGGCGAAAGCGACGGACUGGAUCUCUUCUGACGCUGAGGCGCGAAAGCCAGGGGAGCAAACGGG
rnacentral:rRNA from 1 species